UCAGCAGGCUUGUCUCGGGGUGACUAUGUGCUCUUCGCCUUGCCCAGAGACCCCAUUGUGAAUUACCCUUUGGAGGUCAUCCCACCCCACCUGGGGUGGAUCAAAGACAACAGAGACCAACGGGAGAAAGUUCGGGCUUUGCCAGGCUGAUAGUGGGUGCUGAAUGAGGUGAUUCAUGUCUGUUUCGUUAUGUGUAUUUCGCUGGGAUGGAAAAUGUUAAUUGGGUUCCCCAGGCAGCCUGUUGGGCAGCAUCUUGCAAAUUAAGAAUCUUUUCUGUGGUUCCAUAACACAGAAAGGGGCGAUUUUCUCUUGUAAAGUGGUUUGAACCCCACAGCCAUGGCACUAGCGAGCAGGGUCAUCAGAGCUGCUCCAUUCUUCUGGAAGCUGCAGAGAAAGGGAGCCCGGAAACCUGGCUGGAGUGCAAUGACACGAUCUCGGCUGACUGCAACCUCUGCCUCCCGGGUUCAAGCGAUUCUCCUGCCUCAGCCUCCUGAGCAGCUGGGAUUACAGUUUAUAAUCAGGUAUAAGUCUCUUGGGGAAUCUGACCUCAUACCUCAUCUAUGCAGUUCCUGUACAAGGUUCCUGACCUGUGGGCUAACAAUAACCACGAGAUAAGAAAUCAUGGUUGAGGAGUCAUGGAGCUGGAGAGUACAAGAUUCUGACCCUCCCUAAGCUGCCCCUAAGAUCAGUGCUUGAGAUAUUUGCAGACCCUGCAGUUGAUGGAUCAGCUGACACCACCCAGAUGGAUAAACUGGCUCAUCUGACUUGUGGCCCCCAUCCAGGAUCUGACUCGGUGAAAGAAGACAGCUUUGACUCCCUGUGAUUUCAUCCCUGACCGAUCAGCGCUCCCAGCUCACUGGCUUCCCCCGCACCCACCAAGUUUUCCUUAAAAAUUCUGCUCACCAAAUGCUCAGGAACAUUGACUUGGGUAAUAAUACAAUUCUGGUCGCUUGCAAAAUUAAAAAAAAAAUCUAAACAGUACAGCAUGUUCUUUAUAUAUUAUCUGAAAGAUAAUUUUCAGAAAAAGGUAAAACAAUGACUUGCACCAAGAUAUUAAAAUACACAACUCUUAAAGAUUUUAUUUUACACAUAUGAUAGAAGGGAACUAGGCAGAUGUUAGAAAUAGUUUAAAGGAAAAGUGAAAACAAUACAAAUUUAU